rnacentral:rRNA from 1 species
UACGGAGGGGACUAGCGUUGUUCGGAAUUGCUGGGCGUAAAGCGCACGUAGGCGGAUUUGUAAGUCAGGGGUGAAAUCCCGGGGCUCAACCUCGGAACUGCCUUUGAUACUGCAAAUCUCGAGUCCGGAAGAGGUGAGUGGAAUUCCCAGUGUAGCGGUGAAAUGCGUAGAUAUUGGGAGGAACACCGGUGGCGAAGGCGGCCCCCUGGGCUGGUACUGACGCUGAUGCGCGAAAGCGUGGGUAGCAAACGGG